UACUUCUUGUGUAUAUUUCAACCUAAAUCAUGUUGAUGUGAGUUAUCAAUUUGUUUGGAAGGCCCUGGUUGAGAAGUUUUAGAUAAUAAGGUCAUAUAUAUAUAAAUAUAAACCAAUGUCUACUGUUUUGCGCCAGCUAGUGCUUACAAUUUCAUUCGAGCCCUAAGUAUGUGCCCUGCUGUUAUUCUUUCUUUGGCAGUUGAACGUUGAAUUCGAGAUUUCUUAUUUUUGUUUUAAGAAGUACUAAGCAAAACAAGCAAUAAAAAGGGGAAUGGAGCAUGCUAGUGUUUGAAUAUGCUCUUUUGUUGCUUCUAAUUCUGUGCCCCUGUGCAUUAUUAAUAUUUGGAUGCAUGCAAUGCCAGCAUGGAAAUUGGUCUUCACACAUACUGCAGUUUUCCAGAAACACUCACAAACCAAUAAAUGUAACAGACAUUCCAUUUGUUAAUGGGCAUAUAUGUGAAUAAGCAGUGUAGAAAAUAGGCUAAUAUUAGAAAAUGGUUAAGUACUUAAAACAACUUCAAGUGUGGUUAUAUAAAUGGACACUGUCAAUGUUCAUAACUUCAACCUGGGUACCUGGUCAAAAUGCUUGGGGAAACAUUUUAUUAAAAUUAAGCUAAAUUGUCUCAAGUUCUUUUAUUCUUAUAAUAAAGGUUGAAGGAAUGGGGGAGAUUAACAUUUCCUGUUUUUAUGUUUGUGAAAUUGUUUGACACAACCUUGACAGUAUCCUUUAAGUGGCAUAUGAGGUUAAUUGUACUGUUAACCAACUUUCUGUGUUCUGGAACUAGUUUAAUAGUAAAAACAUUUUCAGUAAGUUGAUGUUUGCAACCUAUAAGCAGGUAAAAUCUGUGUAUGUGACCUGUUUAUAAGUUGUAUUAGCUUAGCUCUUGUGAACAGUGUGGAAAAGUAAGCCAUGAGGAGAGCGAUAUAACCAGCUUUAAAGGACCUAAGAUGUGCUUUUUAAGCACUGUGGAUCAAAGGAAACUCACUAAGACAGGACUUCCGCAGCCUUUUGAGUAUGGACAAGUCAGCAUAAAUAAAGAAUGACAAGGCAGCAGCAAGAGCUUCAACUACAGAGAAGUGAAGGCAUAAGAUACUAUGGUGAUAGUGAGCAACUUUCCAAAAGCUAGUUAAAUCUGCUUAUUACAACUGAAAUAUCGAAGAAAGUCUAGCAGGAAGGAGCUCUUCGCCUUUUGGAACAUCAAUGAGAGAUAGUUGCCACAGUCACUAGGUCUAGCAUUUAGACCUGCAAGGAAGGGCAAUAAGCAUUAGGUUGAAUGAGAACCCUACUUGCCUAAAUGAGGAAUGUCUUUCCUACCAUCUUAAAUACGAAGGUUUCUGGCUGGGUAAGGUUUGUAGUUCACAGUAAAACCUGAUGACACUAUUUGUUUCCCUACAAGUCUAUAUUACAUAUUUUAAAACUUUGUCCCUCUAGUAGGUACAUUGGCAGAAAUCUUCAGAUGAAAACUAUCUUGGUACCAUGUCCAACACAUUUUAAACCUUAGUUUCAAGAAUUCCCCUGCAGUAGCCAUGGGUGUUCAUCUUGAGUCAGAUGUGGCCCCUUCAUGUGUACAAUUUGUUAGUAUCUUCAGAGUAAAGUCAGUUUUUGGUAAGAGAAAGCAGCCUCAGCUUUUUUGAAAACAGUUUUUGUAAUAAUAAGCAUGACUUGUAAAGACUCAUGAAGUUGCCAGUUCUAGUACUAGGAAUGAUACCUUCAAAUGAAUUUCAGAAUUGUCAAAUGAUAAAGAUAUAAAAAAUGGUCUUCAUUCAAGUGGUCUCGUGUAAAAGUAUACUUGCAUAUAAAUUCAGGGAAUUAGUUGGACAAAUAGAAUAAAUUUUUAUUUUGGUUACUAUUGACCAGAAGCACUGCAGGCCUGAUUACGUUAGUGCUCCUUUUUAAAAAGACACCUUUUCCCAAAGAAUGCUCAACUAUUCAGAUUAGUUGCUGAUUAUUUUUAAGGGCUGUUUUUGCUGUCCCAAAAGGGCUUAUUAAAGAUUGAGUUUAAUGUUGAUUUAUUUUUUUAAAAAAAAAUACACUUCAGGGGAUAGAUACUCAAAAUACAAGCUAGUUUCUAAAUUAUAAAUAAAUCAAUUUCUACAUGAACAGGAGUAGUCAGUUUGGCAGACUUUAUUCUCAGAAAAUGGUUGGCUUUCUUUCUAAAUCGGGACUGAAUUUCUACACAUCAUAAAGUGAAGUGUUGAAUAAGGUAACAGCCUUUUAAUGAUAAAUUUCCUUGGCAACAUGGUUUUUAAGUAAAGCAAAUUUCCUAAGAUAGGAAACAUUUUCUUUUUCUAAAGGCAUUGUUCUUAUCAGUCUUUCUAAUUUUUUAUGAAAUAAAAUUAUUUUACUUAAAUGUAGUUUUAUUGUCAUUUCUGAAAAAUACAACGUUCUCUUAAGUUUAUAGCACCAGUAAGGCAAAGUAAGGAAAUUGUUAUAGUGGUAAAUGCUUGAGGUAGAUUUUUUUAACUGAUGUUAAUUAAACCAAUUUGUAGAUUACUGCUUCUAAUAACUACAUUUGUAAAACUAAAUUUUCACACAUGUCCUAAAAAAUAUUUAUGUGGUAAUAAAGUCCGUUUGUUAAGGAAAUAAUUGAAAUAGGCUUGGUUUCAAGAAUUCCGGUAUAAGUCACAAUUUCAAACACGUCUGAUAAUGACAAUAUCACUUGGAGUUCCAGUAAUAAGUGUCACAAAGUAGUGAAUAAGCAUGCUAAUGUGCAGGGGUAAUAAGGUUUAUUAGCCUACCUAAAUAUUUUUAAUUACUUUUAAAUUUCCGUCUGUUUUAUCUGGUUUUUAAGACUUCAGAGGUGGUCUGUAAUGGGUUCAAAUGUUUCAUUUGUAGUAUAAUGAAAUGUUUACAGAAAGAUAACUUUUUCAUUAAAAUAUUUUUAGAAAUGUGUGUGUUGUUUUGUCACUUCACAAUGUUCAUGUGACGCUAUCAGUGGAUAUUUCAGCCUACUUUACUAGUAAGUAAUAAAACAUCAGGAAACUUGGAAUGAGCCUUUAUCAAUUAUUUAAAAAGUUGUGGAUUUUAUUCAAUAAAAACAGCCAUGGGAAAUAGACGUGGAAGAAGAUAUUUUUAAAAGUUUAUUGCCACUUAACAUUGUUUAAAAGGACUUAGGUCUUGAAGGGCAGAAUACUUUGGUGAUUUAUGUGAGGAAUCUAUGAACUUUGAAGAGGAAAAGAACAGGAUGAUUAGGCAAGUGAAUUAGUGAAGGCAGCUUGGGAAAAGUGAAGGGGAGUUCCACACAAGUAUCCAGAGAGGCAGUGGACUAAUUGAACAUACAAUUGUAUAGUGAGGGUGAGUUGGGGAAAAACUUACAUGAAAUUAAGCGGUCCUAAAACUACACUGUUGCACUUCAACCCAAAUAAAAAGGAUGUGAUAAAUGUCAUCGUUUAGCUUGAUAAACUUGUGGUGUAGGUCUUUGAUAAUUUAAAUGUAUUUUCUUCAAUAAAAUUAUUUUUAUGGUACA